rnacentral:rRNA from 1 species
UUGAUUCUUCGAAUGAAGACUUUUGUGACUGAGCGGCGGACGGGUGAGUAACGCGUGGGUAACCUGCCUCAUACAGGGGGAUAACAGUUAGAAAUGGCUGCUAAUACCGCAUAAGACCACAGUACUGCAUGGUACAGUGGUAAAAACUCCGGUGGUAUGAGAUGGACCCGCGUCUGAUUAGGUAGUUGGUGAGGUAACGGCCCACCAAGCCGACGAUCAGUAGCCGACCUGAGAGGGUGACCGGCCACAUUGGGACUGAGACACGGCCCAGACUCCUACGGGAGGCAGCAGUGGGGAAUAUUGCACAAUGGGCGAAAGCCUGAUGCAGCGACGCCGCGUGAAGGAUGAAGUAUUUCGGUAUGUAAACUUCUAUCAGCAGGGAAGAAAAUGACGGUACCUGACUAAGAAGCCCCGGCUAACUACGUGCCAGCAGCCGCGGUAAUACGUAGGGGGCAAGCGUUAUCCGGAUUUACUGGGUGUAAAGGGAGCGUAGACGGCUGUGCAAGUCUGAAGUGAAAGGCAUGGGCUCAACCUGUGGACUGCUUUGGAAACUGUGCAGCUAGAGUGUCGGAGAGGUAAGUGGAAUUCCUAGUGUAGCGGUGAAAUGCGUAGAUAUUAGGAGGAACACCAGUGGCGAAGGCGGCUUACUGGACGAUGACUGACGUUGGGGCUCGAAAGCGUGGGGAGCAAACAGGAUUAGAUACCCU